rnacentral:rRNA from 1 species
GACAGAGGGUGCAAACGUUGUUCGGAAUUACUGGGCGUAAAGCGUGUGUAGGCGGUCCGCUAAGUCGGGUGUGAAAGCCCUGGGCUCAACCCAGGAAGUGCACUCGAAACUGGCGGGCUAGAGUAUCGGAGAGGUUGGUGGAAUUCUCGGUGUAGAGGUGAAAUUCGUAGAUAUCGAGAGGAACACCGGUGGCGAAGGCGGUCUGCUGGGCCAAGACUGACGCUGAGGCGCGACAGCGUGGGGGGCAAACAGG